GACGUAGGAGGCGAGCGUUAUCCGGAUUCACUGGGCGUAAAGCGCAUGUAGGCGGCUAUGCAAGUCGUGUGUUAAAGCCCCUGGCUCAACUGGGGGAGGUCAUGCGAGACUGGAUGGCUUGAGGGCAGCAGAGGCACGUGGAACUCCCGGUGUAGCGGUGGAAUGCGUAGAGAUCGGGAAGAACACCAGUGGCGAAGGCGACGUGCUGGGAUGCCCCUGACGCUGAGAUGCGAAAGUGUGGGGAGCAAACGGG
rnacentral:rRNA from 1 species